GCUCUGGCGCAAGCCAACCGCAGUGUCACCGGCGGCAAUGGUGGUCAGCCCGCCUACCCUGCUUCGGCAAACACAUUGCGCGGUCCGGUACAGCGGGGCGUAGGGAGCAUUGCUCUUCGAUACCCGCGACCGGC
rnacentral:ncRNA from 1 species